GCGUUCAUAGCUCAGUAGUUGGUUAGAGCACCACCUUGACAUGGUGGGGGGGUCGUUGGUUCGAGUCCAAUUGAACGCACCA
rnacentral:tRNA from 1 species